UACGAAGGGGGCUAGCGUUGCUCGGAAUUACUGGGCGUAAAGCGCACGUAGGCGGUCUUUUAAGUCGGGGGUGAAAUCCUGGAGCUCAACUCCAGAACUGCCUUCGAUACUGGAAGACUCGAGUCCGGGAGAGGUGAGUGGAACUGCGAGUGUAGAGGUGAAAUUCGUAGAUAUCGCAAGAACACCAGUGGCGAAGGCGGAGCUCACUGGCC
rnacentral:rRNA from 1 species